rnacentral:rRNA from 1 species
UACGUAGGGGGCUAGCGUUGUCCGGAAUCAUUGGGCGUAAAGAGCGUGUAGGCGGUCCGGUAAGUCCGCUGUGAAAGUCGGGGGCUCAACCCUCGGAUGCCGGUGGAUACUGUCGGGCUUGAGUACGGAAGAGGCGAGUGGAAUUCCUGGUGUAGCGGUGAAAUGCGCAGAUAUCAGGAGGAACACCAAUUGCGAAGGCAGCUCGCCGGGACGUUACUGACGCUGAGACGCGAAAGCGUGGGGAGCAAACAGG